rnacentral:misc_RNA from 1 species
UGAAGAUGGCCGUAUUGAGAUUGAUUGUAAGGUCAAGGUGUGCUGUUUGUGGAAGCUGAGUCCGACGGUGUGGUGGAUGAUUUUGGCGAUUUUGCACCGACGUUGGAGCUCCGGCGACUUAUUCCGGCCGUUGAUUACUCACAAGGAAUCGAAUCGUAUGCUCUCUUAGUAUUGCAGAUAACACAUUUUAAAUGUGGGGGAGUUUCCCUUGGAGUGGGCAUGCAACAUCAUGCAGCAGAUGGAGCUUCUGGUCUUCACUUCAUCAACACAUGGUCCGACAUGGCUCGUGGUUUGGACCUAACUAUCCCACCUUUCAUUGAUCGUACCCUCCUCCGUGCUCGUGAUCCACCUCAGCCUCAAUUCCCCCACGUCGAGUACCAGCCACCUCCCACUCUCAAGACAACAGAAGAAAAUGUGCCCAAUGCAGAAACUGUUCCUGAAACGAGUGUGUCAAUCUUCAAACUAACCCGGGA